rnacentral:rRNA from 1 species
AGAUUUGAAUUCCUGGUGUAACGGUGGAAUGCGCAGAUAUCAGGAGGAACACCGAUGGUGAAGGCAGAUCUCUGGGCCGUAACUGACGGUGAGGAGCGAAAGCAUGGGGAGCGAACAGGAUUAGAUACCCUGGUAGUUCAUGCCGUAAACGUUGGGAACUAGAUGUAGGGGCCAUUUCACGGUUUUUGUGUCGCAGCUAACGCAUUAAGUUCCCCGCCUGGGGAGUACGGCCGCAAGGCUAAAACUCAAAGGAAUUGACGGGGGCCCGCACAAGCGGCGGAGCCUGCGGAUUAAUUCGAUGCAACGCGAAGAACCUUACCAAGGCUUGACAUAUACCGGAAACGUCCAGAGAUGGUCGCCCCGCAAGGUCGGUAUACAGGUGGGGCAUGGUUGUCGUCAGCUCGUGUCGUGAGAUGUUGGGUUAAGUCCCGCAACGAGCGCAACCCUCGUUUUAUGUUGCCAGCACGUUAUGGUGGGAACUCAUAGGAGACUGCCGGGGUCAACUCGGAGGAAGGUGGGGAUGACGUCAAAUCAUCAUGCCCCUUAUGUCUUGGGCU